AGGGUUUGAUCAUGGCUCAGAACGUACGCUGGCGGCACGCCUAAUACAUGCAAGUCGAACGAAGUAGUAAUACUUAGUGGCAGACGGGUGAGUAACAUGUAGGUAUCUUCCCUUUGGUGAGGAAUAACACGAGGAAACUUGUGCUAAUACCUCAUAAGUCUUUACGGAGAAAGCUUUAUGCGCCAUUGGAUGAGCCUGCACUUGAUUAGUUUGUUGGUGGGGUAAUGGCCUACCAAGACAAUGAUCAAUAGCUGAUUUGAGAGGAUGAUCAGCCACAUUGGGACUGAGACACGGCCCAAACUCCUACGGGAGGCAGCAGUGGGGAAUCUUGCACAAUGGAGGAAACUCUGAUGCAGCGAUGCCGCGUGAGUGAAGAAGGCCCUUGGGUUGUAAAGCUCUUUCGUCGGGGAAGAAAAUGACUGUACCCGAAUAAGAAGGUCCGGCUAACUUCGUGCCAGCAGCCGCGGUAAUACGAAGGGACCUAGCGUAGUUCGGAUUUACUGGGCUUAAAGAGUUCGUAGGUGGUUGAAAAAGUUGGUGGUGAAAUCCCAGAGCUUAACUCUGGAACUGCCAUCAAAACUUUUCAGCUAGAGUUUGAUAGAGGAAAGCAGAAUUUCUAGUGUAGAGGUGAAAUUCGUAGAUAUUAGAAAGAAUACCAAUUGCGAAGGCAGCUUUCUGGAUCAUUACUGACACUGAGGAACGAAAGCAUGGGUAGCGAAGAGGAUUAGAUACCCUCGUAGUCCAUGCCGUAAACGAUGUGUGUUAGACGUUGGAAAUUUAUUUUCAGUGUCGCAGCGAAAGCAAUAAACACACCGCCUGGGGAGUACGACCGCAAGGUUAAAACUCAAAUGAAUUGACGGGGACCCGCACAAGUAGUGGAGCAUGUGGUUUAAUUCGAAGAUACGCGCAGAACCUUACCAACACUUGACAUGUUCGUCGCGACUUUAAGAGAUUAAAGUUUUCGGUUCGGCCGGACGAAACACAGGUGCUGCAUGGCUGUCGUCAGCUCGUGUCGUGAGAUGUUGGGUUAAGUCCCGCAACGAGCGCAACCCUCACUUUUAGUUGCCAUCAUUAAGUUGGGCACUCUGAAAGAACUGCCAGUGAUAAGCUGGAGGAAGGUGGGGAUGACGUCAAGUCCUCAUGGCCCUUACGUGUUGGGCUACACACGUGCUACAAUGAUAUUUACAAAAGGAAGCAAAACGGCGACGUUUAGCAAAUCCUAAAAAAAUAUCUCAGUUCGGAUUGCACUCUGCAACUCGAGUGCAUGAAGCUGGAAUUACUAGUAAUCGUGGAUCAGCGUGCCACGGUGAAUGCGUUCCCGGGUCUUGUACACACCGCCCGUCACACCAUGGGAGUUGGUUCUACCUUAAGGCAAGGUUUAAAACCCUUGACCACGGUAUAGUCAGCGACUGGGGUGAAGUCGUAACAAGGUAGCCGUA
rnacentral:rRNA from 1 species